rnacentral:rRNA from 1 species
AUUGAACGCUGGCGGCAGGCCUAACACAUGCAAGUAGAACGAGUGGCGGACGGGUGAGUAAUGUCUGGGAAACUGCCUGAUGGAGGGGGAUAACUACUGGAAACGGUAGCUAAUACCGCAUACCAUCAGAUGUGCCCAGAUGGGAUUAGCUUGUUGGUGGGGUAACGGCUCACCAAGGCGACGAUCCCUAGCUGGUCUGAGAGGAUGACCAGACACACUGAAACGCAUACACGGUCCUGAUGCCUACGGGAGUCAGCAGUGGGGAAUAUUGCACAAUGGGCGCAAGCCUGAUGCAUCCAUGCCGCGUGUAUGAAGAAGGCCUUCGGGUUGUAAAGUACUUUCAGCGGGGAGGCGUUACCCGCAGAAGAAGCACCGGCUAACUCCGUGCCAGCAGCCGCGGUAAUUC